rnacentral:rRNA from 1 species
ACGGAAGGUAGCAGUGGGGAAUAUUGCACAAUGGGGGAAACCCUGAUGCAGCGACGCCGCGUGAGUGAAGAAGUAUUUCGGUAUGUAAAGCUCUAUCAGCAGGGAAGAUAAUGACGGUACCUGACUAAGAAGCCCCGGCUAACUACGUGCCAGCAGCCGCGGUAAUACGUAGGGGGCAAGCGUUAUCCGGAUUUACUGGGUGUAAAGGGAGCGUAGGUGGUUUGGCAAGUCAGAAGUGAAAUGCAGGGGCUCAACGCCUGAACUGCUUUUGAAACUGUCAGACUAGAGUGCUGGAGAGGUAAGUGGAAUUCCUAGUGUAGCGGUGAAAUGCGUAGAUAUUAGGAGGAACACCAGUGGCGAAGGCGGCUUACUGGACAGUAACUGACACUAAUGCUCGAAAGCGUGGGGAGCAAACAGGAUUAGAUACCCUGGUA